rnacentral:rRNA from 1 species
AACGCAGCGAAGGGCGAUAAGUAAUGUGAAUUGCAGAAUUCAGUGAAUCAUCGAAUCUUUGAACGCACCUUGCGCCCUUUGGUAUUCCGAAGGGCAUGCCUGUUUGAGUGUCAUUAAAUUCUCAACCCAAAAAGUCUUUUACGAGCUCUUUUGUGGCUUGGAUGUGGGGGGUUUUUUGCUGGCUUCCUUCAGUGGAUGGUCUGCUCCCCUUAAAUGCAUUAGUGGGAUCUCUUGUGGACCGUCACUUGGUGUGAUAAUUAUCUAUGCCAGUUGACUUUGAAGCAAAACUUAUGGGAACCCGCUCAUAACCGUCUUCGGACAACUUAUUGACAUUUUGACCUCAAAUCAGGUAGGACUACCCGCUGAACUUAA